GGGCGUGUGGUCUAGUGGUAUGACGUUCGUUUUGCAUACGAAAGGCCGGGGGUUCGAUUCCCUCCUCGUCCA